rnacentral:miRNA from 1 species
UGUGUGUGUGUGUGUGUGUGUGUGUGCGCGCACACACACACAUAUAAGCAACACACACAUG